rnacentral:rRNA from 1 species
UACGUAGGGCGCAAGCGUUGUCCGGAAUUAUUGGGCGUAAAGAGCUCGUAGGCGGUUUGUCGCGUCUGCUGUGAAAACCUAAGGCUCAACCUUGGGCUUGCAGUGGGUACGGGCAGACUAGAGUGCGGUAGGGUGACUGGAAUUCCUGGUGUAGCGGUGGAAUGCGCAGAUAUCAGGAGGAACACCGAUGGCGAAGGCAGGUCACUGGGCCGCAACUGACGCUGGAGGAGCGAAAGCCAUGGGAGCGAACAGG